rnacentral:rRNA from 1 species
ACGAACGCUGGCGGCGUGCUUAACACAUGCAAGUCGAGCGGUAAGGCCCUUUCGGGGUACACGAGCGGCGAACGGGUGAGUAACACGUGGGUGACCUGCCCUCAGCUCUGGGAUAAGCCUGGGAAACCGGGUCUAAUACCGGAUAUGACUCCAUGACGCAUGUUGUGGGGUGGAAAGCCUUGUGCGGCUGAGGAUGGGCCCGCGGCCUAUCAGCUUGUUGGUGGGGUGAUGGCCUACCAAGGCGACGACGGGUAGCCGGCCUGAGAGGGCGACCGGCCACAC